rnacentral:rRNA from 1 species
UUAUAACUUUGAGCGGUGGAUCACUCGGCUCGUGCGUCGAUGAAGAGCGCAGCCAGCUGCGUGAACUAAUGUGAAUUGCAGAACACA